AUUUCGUAUAGAUCUGUGUGUUUUAUUGGUUCGGUGUCAUUUUGUGAGGUUUAUUAAGUUUCUAUUCAUUUUACAUGCUACUUCGAGGACAAACCCGACCACUCUACUUUCGUAUGAUAAUUUUCAAAUCUUCCUCAGUAAUCGUUGGUUCUUGUGAAUGUUCCAAAGUUCCGGCGUUCUGCUGUCAACUGUACCCUCUUUGUUUAAAGAUUGUGAAAUUCUAGGAAAUUUGGUUAGCAUGUGAAUGAAACUGUUAAUACAACUGACUCGAUCAUUGAAGAUUAGACAUGGCAGAGGAAGAACUGAAGUGUAUUGCUGAAUAUGUGGAGGAGAAAUCAAAAGGAAAGGUUGCUGAUUUCAGGCCAAAUAUUCUUAUGCUUGGACUUCCUCCUCCUGAUUAUGUUCUGCACACAGUUUCUAACGUUCACACUAAUGAUUUGGAGCAGACAUUGCUAGCUCUACCAUUCUAAGAUGCUUUAAAAACCGUCUCAUUUGAAAUAUUGGGUUUCUUUACCCGAUAAGGUUAGUGCAUCUUGAGAACAAUUAUAUUGUAUCACACGACAGCUUGAAUUGAAUUGCAAAAACUGAAUGAAGAUCUAUCUGCCAUAUAUUUUAAUCUGUCACUCUUCAGUGGUUAAUGUUUAAGGCACCAUGGUUUUGCCUAGUUCAAAUGUUUGUCUGUGGUGCAAUGCACGUCCUUUUCACCAUGGAAAUUGGCAGGCCUGUGAUUUUCUUGUACUUCUUUUGUUUAACCCAUUUAAUUUUUAGCCCUUGCUUUCCUACAUCCAGUUAAUUAUGUCAUCCAUUGCAAUUCUAUUUUACUAUUUUUAUUUUUUGGGUGUGUGGAUAGUUUGAGCUUUUUUAAAGGGGAAGGUGCAUUCCGCAACGUCUUGCUUGUUUGUAAAACAGCAAAAGAACUUGGUGCAUUUUCUUAAAUAUAUGGUUAUUGCAUUGAUUUUGAUCUUUGUGAUUCUAGGUUGGGUACACAAGUUUACACCCCCCUCACAUGGAGGGGAGGGGGGGAACGAAUAUUUUAUUACAUGUGGGCUCCCCUCCAUGUGAGGGGGGUGUAAGGCUAUGUGUACACCUUAGCAUUUUCCUUCUAGGUUUAGCUGACUUAAAUGCAUCAUUGGUUCGACGAAUGUCUUCUCCAAACAAGUUGCAAGAGUUCAAGAAAUUUUCUUUUGAAGAAUUAGAAUGAGAUGAUUCUAAUAUAAUUUUGUUGAUUGUCUUUUCGAGCAUAUAUUGUUAUUAGUAUUUGAUGUGAGAUGGAACAUAAUUAGAUUUCUUAUUGAACAACUAAACUUGUAUAUUUCUACAAGACAAUAUUGAUGCAUGUUUUGGAAUUUAUUAUUA